CGAAAUUUCUGCGAGCAGGACUUGGAGAAAGUUAAGAUCCAGUACUUACAGAUGCAGCGGAGGCGCUUUUUGUAGACGCCCCAGAUGAACUCCCCGCAUAGAUCGCACCAGAUGGGAUGAAGGCAAUGGCAGGAAAAAUAAUGUCAAAGAUUUUUAUUUACAUCGUGAAACUAUUACCUACCUUGUGAAAAAAUAAUGUUUCCAAGAAAUUAAUAAUUGAAGCUUCCUGUCGCAGCUGAAUAAGAGAGACAACAGAGAGAAAUCAGAAAUUAAUACAAAUAUUACCAUUCUCAGAAAACAAAGUAAUAUGGAAUCAGAAAUUAAAAAUAUUGCAUUUGUGUGGCCUCUUGAGAUAAAUGCUACCAGGAAACAUAGAACUAAAAACAGCAAAAGAAUUAGACAACCUAAUAAAUUGUAGCUGAACACAAUAUGAAUAAUUAUUUCUCCUUCCUCUUCUUUGUCAAAGUGUGAGGAAGAAUUAAGAACUGUUCCCUUGUUGUGAGUUUGUGGAAUCCAAAAUAGACUACACUGAAUGUUUCCUACUUUGUAUAAAACAAGCCAACCUGUAUUAUAUACUGAAAUCCAAAAUGUAAACUGAUUUUCUAUUAUCUGAAGAGGUGCUCUCCUCUUUCUCACAGCUUUUGUUUUGACAACAUUAUCUUUUAUAUAAAUUUACUGAAAAUAAUCUGUAACAUAAUGCAGAACUGUUUGUUUGUAAGGUUCACAUUCUUCCUUUGAGAAACUCAGCAGGAGUUAUAUUGCACUCCUUCCUCUAUUUUUUCACAGUAAAAAUUCUAUGAUAGGUUGAGAAAAAACAAGAGAGGCUGAAAGUCAAUGAACUUCCACAACUAAGACUGCCCUAUGCCUUGACCCUCACUAGCUUUUACAAAAAAAUAAGAUAUACAUUAUUACUCUAACAAAUAAAUAUUAGAAGCAUCAUUUGGCAAGUAGAUCUUACAGGAAGCUUUGAAAUGUUCUAAUAGCAAGUAUUAUAUAAAGGCUGAUUCAAAGCAUUUUUCAUACAUACCACUAAAUACAAAGGAAAUGUGCUUUUUGGUUUGAAAUCCUCCAAUUUGCAUAGUAUAGGGAAGAUUUUUUGCUUCCAAAUGGCCACAGUAAUUAAUUCUUCAAUGAGAGUUGGGAUCUAUACAGAAUGGAUAAAUUAAAUAUAUUGUUUGCAAGGUUGAGAUCAUAAAUAACAGGAAACAUAUUAUGUAGACUUGGGAAAGUUCUGUCUGAUGCCUGAAUUCAUGUAGACAAAUUAAAUCCAAGCAGAAGGCUUUCUUAUUUUACUUCUAUUUCUGUAUUCAGAAAGACAAGAAAUAUUAUUUGUAACAAUAAUGUGAACAUAUUUUGCUGUGUAAGGAUUACGUAUCAGUAUCUUGCUCAUGCUCUCAUUCUAUGCAUGUCCUUAGUAGGUUUGCUUAGUCAUGACGUUUCUUCCAGUAGGGUUAUAGUUUAUGUAUACAGUCAAAACCAUUCAUUCCAGAUGAAUUAUUUCCUCAUAAUUUAACCAAAGGGCUGUAGUUAAAAAUUAGGAAAUUUACUAAGUGCUAAUGAAGCAUAUUGCCCCAAAGGUGCUUUUUCAAAAGGCAACUGGACUUUGUUUUUCCUUGAAGAUGUUUCGCUUCUCAUCAGUUCAGAACUGAGGAAGCUUCUUGGAUGAGAAGCAGAGCAUCUUCAAAGGAAAACAAAGUCCAAUUGCCUAUUGAAAAAAACACCUUUGGGACAACAUGACCUGGAUGACUGAGAAUCUCCAUAGACAAAUGAAGCAUAUUGUUUCUAUCCUACCAAUUAAUUUGUAUAACUAGAACAAAGGUAUCCUUCCGAGGUCGGUAAAAUGAGGACCCAGCUUGUUGGGGACAAUAUGCUGACAUUGUAAACCCCUUAGAGAGGGCUGUAAAACAUUGUGAAGCGGUAUAUAAGUCUAAGUGCUAUUGCUGUAUAUGUUUAUAUGAUUACAUACAGUAAGAUUAAUUUGAUUCAGAAAGUAAUUGUAUAAAGCUAUGCAUUUCUAAAUAUAAAUACUGCCAAACACAUAAAUAAUAAAAGAGAUUUUGAUCCAGA